rnacentral:lncRNA from 14 species
GAUGUCCGAAGGCAGGGAAUAGCACUUUCAGCAAGAAAAAAAAGGUUGGAUGUACUUCCCGGUUAGUGGAUUACAACAGGAGAGAAAAGUGCCUGUGCUUGCAAAACAAUUACUCUGAUCCUCCAAUUGUUUAUGUGUUAUAAAGCAAGGAAGUGUGUGAUUGCCUGAUGGUCACCAGUGUUUCUUGCAUGGUAGCUGUUCACCUGCUG